rnacentral:rRNA from 1 species
UACGUAGGUGGCAAGCGUUGUCCGGAAUCACUGGGCGUAAAGCGCGCGCAGGCGGCGAUCUACGUCUGGGGUGAAAGCCCGGAGCUCAACUCCGGGACUGCCUUGGAUACGGGAUCGCUUGAGGAUUGGAGAGGCAAGGGGAAUUCCACGUGUAGCGGUGAAAUGCGUAGAUAUUCGCAAGAACACCAGUGGCGAAGGCGGCUCACUGGCCCGGUACUGACGCUGAGGUGCGAAAGCGUGGGGAGCAAACAGG